UACGUAGGGGGCAAGCGUUACCCGGAUUCACUGGGCGUAAAGGGGGCGUAGGCGGCCGUGUAAGUCCGGUGUGAAAUGCCACGGCUCAACCGUGGAACUGCGCUGGAAACUACACGGCUUGAGGACGGUAGAGGGAGACGGAACUGCUGGUGUAGGGGUGAAAUCCGUAGAUAUCAGCAGGAACGCCGGUGGGGAAGCCGGUCUCCUGGGCCGCUCCUGACGCUGAGGCCCGAAAGCUAGGGGAGCAAACAGG
rnacentral:rRNA from 1 species